rnacentral:misc_RNA from 1 species
AUGUUUGUAAUCAGACGUAGAAUAAAACUUAAUUUUCAAAAAAAAUUUAAGUAUUCAAGCACAAUUAACUCCGAGAUCACAAUGAAUACUUGUCCAGAUAUUUUAAAAGAUUUUGAAUCUGGACCUUUAGAUUUUUACAGAAAACGUGCUACUAUUGAUUGGAAAAAAAUGAGAGUUUUUAUAGAAACUGAAGAAGUUUUACGAUAUAAGAUGAGAGCUUGGAAAGCUUUUGAAUCUGAUCCACUUUUUCAACAUUCCAAUGAAACAUUGUCAUUAGAUGAGCAACGAAGAUUAGCAUUAUUAAGGAUGUACAAAAUUGUAGAAUCAAAUAUUUAUCCAUUUGAUGAAAUAAUGACAAGUCCUAGACUGGCUUUAGCUAAGAUUAUAUCGAUGUUUCAAUACUGUCCGUCUGUUGCAAUAAAAGUUGGACUUACGUUUGACAUGUUUUCUAAUGUAAUAUUUAGUAUGGAUAAUGGAAGAAAUUCAGAUUUAUAUCAAAAGGCUCAAGAAGGAAAAGUUCCUGGUUGUUUUGCACUUACAGAAAUUUCACAUGGUACUAAUACUAAAGAAAUGAGAACAGUAGCAUUAUAUGAUAAUAAUAUAAAAAAAUUUAUUUUAAACACUCCAGAUUUUGAAGCAGCAAAAUGUUGGGUUGGUAGUUUAGGAAAAUCAAGUACACAUGCAAUAAUAUGGGCCAAGUUAAUUAUGAGUAAUGGUGAUGACCAUGGAUUACAUGCAUUUGUUGUUAGUAUAAGAGAUCCAAAAACUAUGUUACCUUAUUCUGGAGUUAUAGUUGGAGAUUUGGGAGAAAAAGCUAGUUUAAAUGGAGUGGAUAAUGGAUUUAUAAUGUUUAAUAACUAUUGUAUACCAAAGGAAAGUUUACUAAGCAAAACAGGAGAUAUAAAUGAUAAUGGACAAUACAUUUCACCUUUCAAAAAUAAAUCAAAACGAUUAGGGGCUUCAUUGGGAAGUUUAUCGAUUGGAAGGUUAAGUAUUGUUAAUAUAUGUGUAGCAUACAUUACAAAAGCGGUUCCAAUAGCAAUAAGAUAUACAGGUGUUAGGAAACAGUUUGGACCACCAAAUGGUGAAGAAUUACCAGUAUUAGAAUAUCAGCUAGUACAAUGUCGACUAAUCCCAAAUUUGGCUGCUGCAUAUGCAUUAAAAAUUUAUGGCGAUUAUGUGGCAAAAGUUUAUGAGUCAUUUAUAAUGGAGAUGAUGACAAAUGCUGGUUCUGAAAAACUUCGAUUACUUGGUGUAGAAAUCCAUGCAGUUUCUAGUUGCUCAAAACCCAUUGCUGCAUGGACAUGUCGUGAUGCAAUUCAAGAAUGUAGAGAAGCAUGUGGUGGUCAUGGGUAUUUAAAAGCUGCUGGACUUAGUGAAUUACGGAGUGCGAAUGAUGCUAAUUGUACAUAUGAAGGUGAUAAUAAUGUAUUAAUACAACAAACGAGUAAUUGGCUGUUAAAUAUCUGGGCAAGUUUAUUGAACGGAGAUAAGAGUUGUUGUGAUACUCCAUUAGGUACUAUAGGAUUUCUGAAAAAAGCAGAAACUAUACUGAAUGAAAAAUUUAAAUUGUCCAGAAUAAAUGAAGUCUUCACAUACACACAUUUAGAGUUACUUUCAUGUUUCGAAUGGAUGAUAUGUUAUCUUUUACGACAGACACAUGCACAAUUACAGUUAUUGAAAGAUCAACAAAAAGAUGUAUUUACUGCAAAAAAUGAUUCUCAGAUGUUCUUUGCUAGAGAUCUAUCAAUAGUUUUUGCAGAAAUAUCCCUCACAAAUUAGUUUUACAGAAACUUGCUUCACUCUAUGGAUUUUGGUCAAUUGAAAAACAUUUGUCUAUUAUGUAUGAAGGUGGUUAUGCCAAUGGGCCAUUGGCAUCAGUAAUAGUUAAAGGAUCCAUUAUAGAACUAUGUUCAAGUCUUAAGGAUGAGGCUGUUACACUUG